GCAGGGAGCCCCAUACAGGAGUCAAUUCCAGGACCCUGGGAUCACGACCUGAGCCAAAAGCACCUGCUUCACCGAAUGACCCACCCAGGCAGCCCUAGGAUCCAUGUU